UACGUAGGGUGCGAGCGUUAUUCGGAAUUACUGGGCGUAAAGCGUGCGCAGGCGGUUUUGCAAGUCGGAUGUGAAAUCCCCGGGCUUAACCUGGGAAUGGCAUUCGGGACUGCAAGGCUGGAGUGCGGCAGAGGAGACUGGAAUUCCUGGUGUAGCAGUGAAAUGCGUAGAGAUGUGGAGGAACACCGAUGGCGAAGGCAGCCUCCUGGGCCAGCACUGACGCUCAUGCACGAAAGCGUGGGGAGCAAACAGG
rnacentral:rRNA from 1 species